GAUGAAGAACGUAGCGAAAUGCGAUAAGUAAUGUGAAUUGCAGAAUUCAGUGAAUCAUCGAAUCUUUGAACGCAUCUUGCGCUCCUUGGUAUUCCGAGGAGCAUGCCUGUUUGAGUGUCAUUACAACCCUCAAGCUCAGCUUGGUGUUGGGCCCCGCCGCCCCGGCGGGCCCUAAAGUCAGUGGCGGUGCCGUCCGGCUCCGAGCGUAGUAAUUCUUCUCGCUCUGGAGGUCCGGUCGUGUGCUCGCCAGCAACCCCCAAUUUUUUUCAGGUUGACCUCGGAUCAGGUAGGGAUACCCGCUGAACUUAAGCAUAUCAAUAAGCGGAGGA
rnacentral:misc_RNA from 1 species